rnacentral:lncRNA from 1 species
UGGAUAUGCAUGCCGAAUAAGAAAGAAUAAAAAGUGUGCAGGGCUCUUUGUCCUCCUGCCUAUUAAAGGAAAAAUGAAUAAAUCGAGAAGAAGGAAGAGAAAUAGAGUCAAACAAGUAGAGAGAUAGUGAGUUACAAAGAGAGAGAAAGUAGAGAGAGUGUGUGAGGGAAAAAACAGAUCAUAUCGACAACGAGGCCGGUUUGGUGCGUGCGACGUGCGAUAUGACAGGUGGCCCAUAACCAGAAGGCCAGAGAGAGAUAACGCAUGAUGGAGUGUAGAGAAGAAAGUGAAUUGCGAUGGUGGCCAGGCGCGGUUCCACGCAUUCAAACCUUUCUCUUAUGCGAUUUUGCCAUAUCCAAGCCAGAUCUACGUGUGCGGCUCGUUCUGUG